AGUAAUACAUCGGAACGCGUCUUCUAGUGGGGGAUAACUGCCCGAAAGGGCAGCUAAUACCGCAUGAGACCUGAGGGUGAAAGCGGGGGAUCGCAAGACCUCGCGCUGGAAGAGCGGCCGAUGUCCGAUUAGCUAGUUGGUGAGGUAAAGGCUCACCAAGGCGACGAUCGGUAGCUGGUCUGAGAGGACGACCAGCCACACUGGGACUGAGACACGGCCCAG
rnacentral:rRNA from 1 species